AACUUUCAACAACGGAUCUCUUGGUUCCCGCAUCGAUGAAGAACGCAGCGAAACGCGAUAGUUAAUGUGAAUUGCAGAAUUCAGUGAAUCAUCGAGUCUUUGAACGCACAUUGCGCCCACUGGUAUUCCAUUGGGCAUGUCUGUUUGAGCGUCAUU
rnacentral:rRNA from 1 species